rnacentral:lncRNA from 1 species
CUACCACCAAAUACACUAUAACCCAAUCCCUUCAUGACACCACCAAAUCAUUAGGUUUUGUCAAUUCUGCCAGAGCAUUGGCAUCAAACUCCACCCCUAUUAGAUACACACAGGUUGCAGCACCCUGUAAGGAAAGCAAGGUGAUCGAGAUAGAUGAAGGUAACUGCGAUGAUUUGGGGGUUCCACUAAAUGGUCUCCCCGUCGGAGCGGUGGCCAAGCUCCCGCGACAGCUGGAACACCCAUGCCGCGCACAAAGCUGGUAAUAUCACGCAGCUGCCCCGGCCAUUGACUUUACUGUGACUCAACGACAGAGGUGGCAGGAUGCGGAUGACUACCAUGAUUGGCUGAUAAAGGUAGUUAGGACGGUGGCUAUUGUAGGAGAGUUUACGGUGUGGAUGGGUUUGUUUUGAGAAUGGUUUACUUUCAGUGUGUUGGGUUGUAAUUUUGAGUAUGGUUCGGUGUUGGGGUGGACUUUAGUUUGUUUGGCUAAUGUUGGGCUGGUUUUUACUUUGGGUUUAGAUUUGGUAUUGGGCCGGGCUUUAGUUUUGUUAUGGGUUCAAUGUUGGGCUGGGUUUUAGUUCGGUUUGAUUCUUAACCUUAGCUGGGCUUUAGUUUGGAUUUUAGUUCACUGUUAAGUUAGGUUAUUGCUUGGGUUUGGGCAGGAUUUCAUUUUGAUUGGGCUGCGAGAAUUGAGUUGGGUUUUAAUUUGGGUUUGGUUCACUGUUUUUAUGGGAUUUAGUUUGGGUUUAGUUACUGGGUUGUUAUUUAUGUUUAGAUUUAGAUUUGGGCUAGUUGUUACUUUAGGUUUUGGUUCAUUGUUGGACUGGGUUUUUGUUUGGGUUGGGUACUGUUGGUCUGGGCUUUAGUUUAUGUUCAACAUGGGUCGGGCUUUAGCUAGGUUGGGUUCACAUUUGGGCCGUGUUUUGUAUGGGCUUGGAUUAAGUUUGGCAUGGGCUUUAUUUUUCACUAGGGGUCAUUGAUGGGUUGGGUCAUUCCAGAUGGGCUUUAGUUUUUUUGGAUUUAUAAUUGGGCUGGGUUAUUUUUGAGUUUGGGCUGGAUUUCCAUUGGGUCGAGUUCACUAUUGGACUGGGCUUUCGUUUGUGUUUGGGUUCAAAUUGGAUUGUAAUUUGGGUUUGAUGGACUCUUGGGCUGGUUGGGUUCAGUAUUGGUCCUCUAACUAUUCAAAAGGGGCCCAUUGAUCCUCUAUGUUACUUUAGUUUAUCGAUCCUCCAGCUUUGAAGAAGGGACAUAUUGGUCUUCCAACUAUGGCAAAGCCACAAAUCGAUCCUCGAACUAUGAAAACUGGUAUGAACUAUGAAUCAUCGUCACAGCCGGCUGCCAACUCUGAUCUUGAUUAUGCAUUAUUUUCCUAGGAUGUGCAUUUGAAGUUUCAAUUGUUGUCUCCCCAUGCUUAUCCAAAACACGCAAACCAAUAAAAAUUGAAGAUGAU